UUUGGAAACUGUUGAACUAGAGUGCAGGAGAGGUAAGCGGAAUUCCUAGUGUAGCGGUGAAAUGCGUAGAUAUUAGGAGGAACACCAGUGGCGAGGGCGGCUUACUGGACUGUAACUGACGUUGAGGCUCGAAAGCGUGGGGAGCAAACAGGAUUAGAUACCCUGGUAGUCCACGCUGUAAACGAUGAAUACUAGGUGUGGGAGGACUGACCCCUUCCGUGCCGCAGUUAACACAAUAAGUAUUCCACCUGAGGAGUACGACCGCAAGGUUGAAACUCAAAGGAAUUGACGGGGGCCCGCACAAGCAGUGGAUUAUGUGGUUUAAUUCGACGCAACGCGAAGAACCUUACCAGGAUUUGACAUCCAACUAACGAAGUAUAGAUACAUUAGGUGCCCUUCGGGGAAAGUUGAGACAGGUGGUGCAUGGUUGUCGUCAGCUCGUGUCGUGAGAUGUUGGGUUAAGUCCCGCAACGAGCGCAACUCUUAUUGUUAGUUGCUACGCAAGAGCACUCUAGCGAGACUGCCGUUGACAAAACGGAGGAAGGCGGGGACGACGUCAAAUCAUCAUGCCCCUUAUGUCCUGGGCUACACACGUAAUACAAUGGCCGUCAACAGAAGGGAAGCAAUACCGCGAGGUGAGCAAAUCCCUAAAAACGGUCUCAGUUCGGAUUGCAGGCUGCAACUCGCCUGCAUGAAGCUGGAUUGCUAGUAUCGCGGAUCAGCAUGCCGCGGUGAAUACGUUCCUGGUCUUGUACACAC
rnacentral:rRNA from 1 species